rnacentral:rRNA from 1 species
AUGCAGGACCGGAAAAUACAGGAAAAAAGCCAGGGCCUCGGCGGGAGACGUGAAGAAACAGUACCCUGGGACGCCGAGCUCCGCGGCGACGUCGAGCGCGAUGCUGCAGAAGAAGUCGACGACGAGGACAGCCGGGGAGGCGCCGGCGAGGAAGCCGCGGAGGUGCGGGACGGAGAGGCCGGCGACCUCGUAGGUGACCGCCUCGGGGUGGUCGGAGUCGAGCGGCGGGACCUCGACCUGCGGGAGGCAGUGGAAGGAGACGGAGGGAUUGGCCGCGGUGACGCCGGCCAGGAACGGCCCCCUGGCCCCGGUGUCGACGAACGGCAGGCUCACGAUGACGAUGGUGAUGGCGAGGCCGCGAGCCGCGAGGACCUUGCCGAGCUCAACCAUGGAGACCAGGUGGCCCAUGCCGGGCGAUGGGUACAGCACCACCUGCUUCCGGGGCGUCCAGGUGGCUGCGGCACCGUCCAU